rfam:Dipodomys ordii contig_52405, whole genome shotgun sequence.
GCCGGGCGUGGUGGCGCGCACCUGUAAUCCUAGUUACUCGGAAGGCUGAGCCUGGAGGUUCGCUUGAGUCCAGGAAUUCUGGGCUGCAGUGCGCUAGGUUGAUAGGGUGUCCGCACUAAGUUCGGCAUCAAUAUGGUGACCUCCCGGGAGUGGGGGAACACCAGGUUGCCUAAGGAGGGGUGAACCGGCCCAGGUCGGAAAAAUAACUUCAUCUACCUUUGGUUCUUCCUUCUCUAAAAUUGAAUACAUGGUAUGGAAUACAUGGGGCAGCCAGUCAUUGGAAUGCUUCAAAGCAUAGUCUUUGCUGUCCUUCUUCAGCUCUGUUCCCUUUU